GGAGAGAACACAGUGUCUCAAGAAACUUCCCAGCCUCCUGAUGGCCAAGAGGUCAUUUCCAAACCACAGACACCAUUGGCUGCUAGACCACGAAGUAUUUCUGAGAGUUCCGCCAGUUCAGCCAAGGAGGAUGAGAAGGAGUCCUCUGAUGAGGCUGAUAAAAACUCUCCCCGAAAUACUGCCCAGAGAGGCAAGCUCGGAGAUGGGAAGGAGCAUACAAAGAGCUCAGGGUUUGGCUGGUUCAGCUGGUUUCGAUCGAAGCCCACCAAGAACGCAUCCCCCGCUGGAGACGAGGACUCCUCAGACAGCCCUGACUCUGAGGAGACCCCCAGAGCAUCUUCUCCCCACCAGGCUGGCCUGGGCCUCUCACUGACACCUUCCCCUGAGUCCCCACCUCUGCCGGAUGUUAGUGCCUUCUCCAGGGGCAGAGGUGGGGGUGAAGGCCGAGGAUCCGCAUCCAGCGGGGGAGCAGCUGCGGGCGCUGGGGUUGGAGGCUUGUCUGGACCAGAGAGUGUUUCCUUUGAGCUCUGCUCCAACCCUGGUGUUCUUCUUCCUCCACCUGCCUUAAAAGGGGCUGUUCCUCUUUACAACCCAUCUCAGGUGCCUCAGCUGCCCACGGCCACUAGCCUGAAUCGGCCAAAUCGCCUAGCUCAGCGUCGCUAUCCCACCCAGCCAUGCUGAGAAUAAACACACGUCCCAGGCUCAUCUCCCAGGACUGAAACUUUCUUGCUCUCUUUUUCUCAAUCUCCCAGCCCCUCUCUACCAUAUUGGGACCCUCAAGAGGUUUGUGCUAGCCCGAUGCCUCCACCGGGCACUUAGAAGGCAAGAGGACAGGAUCUCUCAAGACACAGCACAAUUCAGUCUCUUAAGAUUAGCUUCACAAUGAUGGAAAUUAUUUCAUCAGGUGGAAAGUCUGGGUCUAAUAGCAGACUGCACAUGAGCAGAGUGACAUGGUGGUGGCACUUAUGGUGGUGGCUUGAGAGCCUUGGGGAAAUUAGGGCCCUAACAGCUAGAAUCAAAGAUGAUACCGCAGGGCCCUGUAGCAAGAAAUGGGAAGCAGGGGGAGGGGCAGGGGCUCAGAACAAUAUUCUAGACCAACUUUGACUACUUCCUGUCUUAGUAAUAGACCAAUACAUGGCUCUAUUUAGCAAAGUUUUUAUACUGAAACUUGAUUAUUGCUGCCCUUUAUAAUUUCCUCUUCAAUGAUAUUUCAGCAGUUUCCCUCUUGGUCCUAGUUUUGUGCACAUUUUUUUGAAUGUGGUUCAGAUUAAUUAUAUUUCUCUCACUUUCUUAGCUGGUCCUAUUUUUUCACAUUCUGGCAUGUGGCUAUCAAGUUAGAUUGCUGUAGGCAUCAUAUUGUCAUGGUAACUACUGAACCUAAUGAUGCAGAUGGAUGGCACAUCAGUAUAAUAAAUGAUGGAAAACGGUUCCUAAAAAUUCAUCCCUUUCAUAAGAGGGGAAGAAUGAGUGCCUGAUAUUGUUAAUACCUCCCUUUCUACCUCAGGCCUUUGCAAAUUGAUGUUCAGAGGGUCACUGGAGUGAGAGGGAGGAGGGGGGCGUCUUGGAAAUUUCCAUUUCUCUUUUCAAACCCAAAAUAGGAAUGACUCUUGCUGUUUGUCAGAUUUGCUGAAAAUUGCUCCUCACAAAGAACAUUUUUUUUUGUACAUGUAAUUGUAAAUACAGGUUUAGUACGUUAAUGUUCUAUAGUUCUGAUAUUGAUAAUAAUUAAACCCAGAUAAUUUUAUAGCAAAUGCUUGUCUCUGGCUGAUUUUUACAGAGGAAGAAAGUACAUUGGUGGUCUCUUCCCUGAAGUCUUUCUAAUAAUGGUUUUAUUGUGUGAUCAAGUGUGAAUAGCUGGAAAGAGCCCUUUGUUAAUGAGGAAUCUAGGGACAGAUCCUCUUAACUUCUAAGUCUACUCUAAUUUUAUUAUUUUUCCAAUUUAAAAAAUAUGAACAAAAAGCUCCUCUGAUGCAAGUCAGUCACUUUACUAACUGAACUAAGUGUUGUAUAUUUUGUUCCAUAAAAAGUUGUUUUUAACCUCUUAGAUUAAAUUAGAAAAUGUAUGCAUAAAUGUUUUGCACCUGGAAGGCCCUCAGUAAAUGCUGUUCCGCUUUUUUCCUUAAAAGGCUGCUGCUCCUUCAAUUUGGUAUGCUGACAUCCAGUGGUGGUGCUGUGGCAUUAGUGUCCUACUGAAUGUGAAGACUAUGAAGAUGAAGACCUUUAUGAUGAUCCACUUUCACUUAAUGAAGGGUCAAUAUAUUUUCUCUUUCUUAUGAUUUUCUUAAUCAUGUUUUUUCUCUAGCUUACUUUAAGAAUACAGUGUAUAAUACAUAUAACAUAUACAAUAUGUGUUAAUUGACUGUUUAUAUUAUCAAUAAGGCUUCCAGUCAACAGUGGGCUAUCAGCAGCUGAGUUUUUGGGGAGUCAAAAAUCAUAUGUGGAUUUUUGACUUUGCAGGGCUCAGUGCCCAUCAUGUCCACAUUGUUCAAAGCUCAACUGUACUUUAUUACAGUGUCUUUUAUUGUUAAUUUGCAAUCUAAUAAGAUCUGGACUGUUUUUUUUGGGCCUACCAGAUCUGACUAUAGAUUUUUUGUUCUUGAUACCUGUAUAGGACAGGAAUGAUGAUUAAAACAUACUUCUCAA
rnacentral:lncRNA from 1 species